rnacentral:rRNA from 1 species
GAUGAACGCUGGCGGCGUGCUUAAGACAUGCAAGUCGAACGAUGAAGCCCAGCUUGCUGGGUGGAUUAGUGGCGAACGGGUGAGUAACACGUGAGUAACCUGCCCUUGACUCUAGGAUAAGCCCGGGAAACUGGGUCUAAUACUGGAUAGGAACGUCUACCGCAUGGUGGGUGUUGGAAAGAAUUUCGGUCAUGGAUGGACUCGCGGCCUAUCAGCUUGUUGGUGAGGUAAUGGCUCACCAAGGCGACGACGGGUAGCCGGCCUGAGAGGGUGACCGGCCACACUGGGACUGAGACACGGCCCAGACUCCUACGGGAGGCAGCAGUGGGGAAUAUUGCACAAUGGGCGAAAGCCUGAUGCAGCGACGCCGCGUGAGGGAUGACGGCCUUCGGGUUGUAAACCUCUUUCAGUAGGGAAGAAGCGAAAGUGACGGUACCUGCAGAAGAAGCACCGGCUAACUACGUG